AUGAACGCUGGCGGCGUGCUUAACACAUGCAAGUCGAACGAGAAGUGGAGACGGAAACCUUCGGGCGGAAGACUUUACUUCGAGUGGCGGACGGGUGAGUAACGCGUGGGUAACCUGCCUCAUACAGGGGGAUAACAGUUGGAAACGACUGUUAAUACCGCAUAAGACCACAGCACCGCAUGGUGCGGGGGUAAAAACUCCGGUGGUAUGAGAUGGACCCGCGUUCGAUUAGCCAGUUGGCGGGGUAACGGCCCACCAAAGCGACGAGCGAUAGCCGAUCUGAGAGCAUGACCGGCCACAUUGGGACUGCGACCCGGCCCAAACUCCUACGGGAGGCAGCAGUGGGGAAUAUUGCACGCUGGGGGCAACCCUGAUGCAGCGACGCCGCGUGAGUGAAGAAGUAUUUCGGUAUGUAAAGCUCUAUCAGCAGGGAAGAAAAUGACAGUACCUGAGUAAGAAGCCCCGGCUAACUACGUG
rnacentral:rRNA from 1 species